GGGUGUAGUUCAGUGGUAGAGCACUUGCCUAGCAUGUGUGCAGCCCCUGGGUUCAAUCCCCAGCACUGCA
rnacentral:tRNA from 1 species